rnacentral:rRNA from 1 species
GACGAACGCUGGCGGCGUGCCUAAUACAUGCAAGUAGAACGCUGAAGAGAGGAGCUUGCUCUUCUUGGAUGAGUUGCGAACGGGUGAGUAACGCGUAGGUAACCUGCCUGGUAGCGGGGGAUAACUAUUGGAAACGAUAGCUAAUACCGCAUAAAAUGGAUUAUCGCAUGAUAAUCCAUUGAAAGGUGCAAAUGCAUCACUACCAGAUGGACCUGCGUUGUAUUAGCUAGUUGGUGGGGUAACGGCUCACCAAGGCGACGAUACAUAGCCGACCUGAGAGGGUGAUCGGCCACACUGGGACUGAGACACGGCCCUGACUCCUACGGGAGGCAGCAGUAGGGAAUCUUCGGCAAUGGACGGAAGUCUGACCGAGCAACGCCGCGUGAGUGAAGAAGGUUUUCGGAUCGUAAAGCUCUGUUGUAAGAGAAGAACGAGUGUGAGAGUGGAAAGUUCACACUGUGACGGUAUCUUACCAGAAAGGGACGGCUAACUACGUG